rnacentral:rRNA from 1 species
GACGAACCUGGCGGCGUGCCUAAUACAUGCAAGUAGAACGCUGAAGGAGGAGCUUGCUUCUCCGGAUGAGUUGCGAACGGGUGAGUAACGCGUAGGUAACCUGCCUGGUAGCGGGGGAUAACUAUUGGAAACGAUAGCUAAUACCGCAUAAUAGCAGUUAUUGCAUGAUAACUGUUUGAAAGGUGCAAUGCACCACUACCAGAUGGACCUGCGUUGUAUUAGCUAGUUGGUGGGGUAACGGCUCACCAAGGCGACGAUACAUAGCCGACCUGAGAGGGUGAUCGGCCACACUGGGACUGAGACACGGCCCAGACUCCUACGGGAGGCAGCAGUAGGGAAUCUUCGGCAAUGGACGGAAGUCUGACCGAGCAACGCCGCGUGAGUGAAGAAGGUUUUCGGAUCGUAAAGCUCUGUUGUAAGAGAAGAACGAGUGUGAGAGUGGAAAGUUCAC